rnacentral:lncRNA from 10 species
UCUGGCUAAAGGUGAAAAUUGAGGCUGGAGUAAUAGACUUGGGAGUCAGCAGCCUAGAGAUGGGACUUAGACCAAUGAGACUGGAUGAGAUCACCUAGGGAGAGAAGAGAGAAGGAGAAAAGGGAAAAUGAAAAGGCCAAGGACAAACCUCUGGGGAUUGUUAACAUUUAGAGAUGUAGCGGUGGAUGGAACUGCAGAAAAACUGAGAUGGAGCUGUAAUUGAGGUAGGAGGAAAUCCAGGUGCAAAGCCUCCCAUUUUGCCUUGAGGACCAUAGCAAAUACCUCCUUUCUGGAUGGACAAGGGAGACCCUUGUCAGCAAGAAUUGUGCUACAGUCUCCCAGCCUAACCACAAGGACACACAAGGACUAGAACAUUCGCUCUGCUUCUACACAGCAUUGGCAAGAGUUUGAACACCUCUUUCUCAAACCAACAGCAAGAGUUGCCCAGGAAGUGCAUUCACUAACAUACUCCCCUAAAUAUUCUUGUGUGAAAAGAAGAGAUAUGUUGCCAUGAAUGGGUCUUUCAGUUGGUAUUUGUAGGACUGCAAAGUUGCAAAGCUGGCAACAUGGUAAUAGCUUAGAGUGUUAAAUUUUGUGAUUUACUACUUGAUAUGGUAGCACAAAAUUAGAACUACAAGAAGAAUAAAGGCUUGGUCACCUUACCUGUAAGAUCUACUAAUGACAAUAACUUUAUAGAGAAAAUUGCUCCUCUUUAAGCAAUGCCUCAUCUGACUUGAUGCUCUCUGCUGCAGAAGGUGAAAUUGCAACAAUUACAAACUUGAUCUUGGCUGUGACCCCUGAAUUGACCUUUUGAAGGAACCUGGAUUAUGUCUGAAUCUAUUAUCUCUGCAAGGAGACCAGCUGUCUUCAGAAUUGCUUUUGGGGCCCCGUAAUGUCAUCGUGAAAUUGCAGUUAGUAAUCUUGCCAACAAUUUCCAGAUUUGGUGCAGAUAAGCUUGAACACAUUUGACUCUUUGGUUUCCAAUGUUAUUUAGAGAAUUGGAUGACUUAAAGCAUUUAUUUUUUUCAACUCAAUUCUUAUCAUAAUCCAUCAACAUCACUGUGUUUUUAUUCUCUAUUUCAUUUUUAUAUGAUCCUAUUAGUUGAGAGAAACACAAGUGACAUUUUUCUUUCCUAUGGCCUUGUCUCCUUUUUGCCUUUGCUAGAACUCAGAGAUCAUAUACCUUUUACUAAAUUAGAAUUCAGCCAUAUCCUCUGACCAACAAUUUUCCUAGCACUGAUCUUCUUCACUGAGUUUUGUUAGGGAUGAAACAAAGGCAGUUCUUUCUGCUCCAUGCAAAUGACAUUUGCAACCUGUCCCUAAAUCACAGACCGGAAAUGCUUCUCUUAGAUGACUGAGGCUGAUACUUUUGAAAUGUGCUGCACUCCAGGUACCUUUGUGCUGUCUCCAGGAAAAUGAAAGUGAGUUUUUGGAUUGAGAGUGAGUCAAGCUUCCAAGCUGUUAAGGAGCAUGGGUUUGAUGUGGCUCCAUCAUGGCUAUGUGGUAACUCAGCAGAAGUGUCAUUCAGGAUGUGUGAAGGGCAUCAAUCUCAGAGACUUGGCUGCCUCCCUUUAGGUUUCCAGAUGAAACUGACACUCUUUGUUGUCAAGGAGCCAGUGGUGCUGAAUGACCUUACACCAAAGGGGGUGCUGGCCUGCUUUGGGGGCAUUUCUGCUUCUCCUCAAUUGCUUGCCUCGAUAUAAGAAAGUUCACUGAUCAUGGGCCAGUAUAGAAGUGCAGAAUUUACUUUAUCCAUGUGGGGUCAUAUAUAAAUUCCAGAUUCCUCCUGUACAAUUUAUUUUUUUGUUUGUCAUAGCAGUAGACAGAAAAAUGGUAAUCAAAGUACCAGUCAUUCAUUCCAAUUUGACAAAACACUCAUUAAGACUCUGCUGCACUGGGAUUGGUGAGG